rnacentral:rRNA from 1 species
UACGGGGGGGCAAGCGUUGUUCGGAAUUACUGGGCGUAAAGGGCUCGUAGGUGGCCAACUAAGUCAGACGUGAAAUCCCUCAGCUUAACUGGGGAACUGCGUCUGAUACUGGAUGGCUUGAGUUUGGGAGAGGGAUGCGGAAUUCCAGGUGUAGCGGUGAAAUGCGUAGAUAUCUGGAGGAACACCGGUGGCGAAGGCGGCAUCCUGGACCGGCAUUGACGCUGAGGCGCGAAAGCUAGGGGAGCAAACGGG